rnacentral:piRNA from 1 species
CGGGAUUGUAGAUUCUGUGGUUAAUG